UCGGCUUAGAGUUUGAUCCUGGCUCAGAACGAACGCUGGCGGCGUGCUUAACACAUGCAAGUCGAACGUGAAAAUCGCCUUCGGGCGAUGAGUAAAGUGGCGCACGGGUGAGUAACGCGUGGGUAAUCUACCUCGGGAACCGGGAUAACUCGCCGAAAGGAGGGCUAAUACCGGAUAACGUCUUGCUGCCCAAGCAGUAAGACCAAAGGUGGCUUUGCUGCCAUCUUGAGAUGAGCCCGCGUACCAUUAGCUAGUUGGUGGGGUAACGGCCUACCAAGGCGACGAUGGUUAGCUGGUCUGAGAGGACGAUCAGCCACACUGGAACUGAGACACGGUCCAGACUCCUACGGGAGGCAGCAGUGGGGAAUAUUGCGCAAUGGGGGCAACCCUGACGCAGCGACGCCGCGUGAGCGAUGAAGGCCUUCGGGUCGUAAAGCUCUGUCAGGUGGGAAGAACCCUCCGGUGGUGAAUAGCCACCGGAUCUGACGGUACCACCAGAGGAAGCACCGGCUA
rnacentral:rRNA from 1 species